rnacentral:misc_RNA from 1 species
UGUCUAUUAUUAUAGACAAUUUAUAGUCUCUUUUUAGUGCCUUGUUUGUACAUUGAAAAGAUCUCAGACAGAUAACCGAUUUUCUUACUGAAUUGGUGCAUAAUAAUUAAUUAAUAUCUAAUUAAUUAGCCUAGAUUAACAGUAGUUUUAAAAACGAAUCUAACCUUCUAUAGUAUAGAGAAAUCUAUUGUACAGUGGUAUGAUUUUGCUCUGAGGGGGGUUUAGAGAUUACUAUUGCAAUACAUAAGAGGACGUUUUUUGUCUCAAACUCUUGAUAUAACCGUCCCCUUACUACAUGCAAUAUCAAGAACAUGCAAGGUGCUAUACUUGUAAGCUGCAUGGGGGAAGAUACACGUUACGGACCACGCACUAUUGGGAAAAAGGUGUGGCCACGUACAUGUAUCUUGAUAUGCAAUAGAGAUUUGGAAAAUGUUGGAAGAAGCAUUCCUGCCAAACGUGUGUAAACUAGUUCUGUCUGCAUUUGUGUUUUAAACUGAUCAGGAAGAAUUUCAAUUGCAUCUGAUUUUUUUUGUACCUUGCAUUUUGGGCGUUAAACGCCGGGGACAGACUAGAUUGAAAUUGGAUUAGCAUGUGAUAAUAAAACUCGCGGACCAAUACAUACAUUGAUCUCAUAUUGGAAGCUUGAUUGGGAAAAAAUGGGCAUAGAUAAUGCCAUUUAUAUUUUUUUCAUUCUUUGAACACCUGUGAUGAUUUUUGUGUACAUUGUUGAUUUUUUUUCUCUCGGUUAAACCUUGAACACGCUAUGGGUAUAUUUGUGUGUUAAAGGGACAUAUUUGUCUUUUUUUCCCCUCCUUCCAUUGCUUUAUGAUUUAAACCGAUCACGGAUCCUGAUUUUGUUUCGAGAUAGUCCUGUUUGUGGUUUCGAUGAUGUCACAUUUUUUUUCAGUUUAGACGUCUGUAGCAAUAUUCAUUAAGCAUAUUAAAAAACUCUAUGCAAUCGCAUAUAUGUGCAUUGUAGAUUUGUGACAAAAUUAAUAGAUUACUGCUGUUUUAUAUGCUGAGAUCUCAUUUCUGUUAAAGAAAAGAAAAUCUUUCGUCUUUCGCUAAAAACAACUUAAGUUGUGUCUUUAUUUUAUUUUUAUUUUUUGAACACAUGUAAUCUAAUAUUUAUGCUAUAUGUUAAAGCCAUGCAAUAUGCCUUUGGUAUUCUCCUUUCUUUUUUUUUACCCACAAUACAUUAUAACAGGAAAUAUCAAUAUUAGUAUGUCUGUAUGCAUGCGAAAAAACUUCAUCCUACAUGUUUAUGGACUGCAUUUCAUUGUGUAAGAUAAUUGUGUGUGACUGAAUGCGAAAUUCUUUAAAAAGAGUGAUUUGUGUUUGAAAAGGUUUUAUUUCCUUAUCUGAAUAAUAAAAAAGUCUUGCAAUAAUU